GCGCCAGUGGUUUAGCGGUAAAAUCCAUCGUUGCCAUUAGCAAGUUCGAUGGGCCCCCGGUUCGACUCCGGGCUGGCGCA